rnacentral:rRNA from 1 species
AGUGGCGCACGGGUGAGUAACGCGUAGACAAUCUGCCCUUCAGUCUGGGACAACUUUUCGAAAGGAGAGCUAAUACCGGAUAACAAUGCAUGACACAAGUUGUAUAUUUGAAAGCUUUAUGUGCUGAAGGAGGGGUCUGCGUCCCAUUAGCUAGUUGGUAAGGUAAAGGCUUACCAAGGCAACGAUGGGUAGCGGGUUUGAGAGGACGAUCCGCCACACUGGAACUGAGACACGGUCCAGACUCCUACGGGAGGCAGCAGUGGGGAAUAUUGCACAAUGGAGGAAACUCUGAUGCAGCAAUGUCGCGUGAGUGAAGAAGGCCCUUGGGUCGUAAAGCUCUUUUAUGGGGGAAGAUGAUGACGGUACCCCAAGAAUAAGCACCGGCUAACUAUGUGCCAGCAGCCGCGGUAAUACAUAGGGUGCGAGCGUUGUUCGGAAUUACUGGGCGUAAAGGGCGCGCAGGCGGAAUAGUAAGUCGGAGGUGAAAGCCCGGGGCUCAACCCCGGAGGGUCUUUCGAAACUACUAAUCUAGAGAGGGUCAGGGGCCGGCAGAAUUCCUGGUGUAGAGGUGAAAUUCGUAGAUAUCAGGAGGAAUACCGGUGGCGAAGGCGGCCGGCUGGGGCCACUCUGACGCUGAGGCGCGAAAGCGUGGGGAGCAAACAGGAUUAGAUACCCUGGUAGUCCACGCCGUAAACGAUGAGCACUGGACGUCCGGAGGGUUCGACCCUUCUGGGUGUCUCAGCUAACGCAUUAAGUGCUCCGCCU